rnacentral:lncRNA from 1 species
AGGCCUUUUGCAGCAAGAAAAACUUGGGAAAGGGGCCCCCACACGCACUUCUCCUGCACCCUGGCUAGAUUUCCCGGCACGGGCCAGCCAGGGCAGCCAGCCUGACCUGCUCCAGGAAAGCCUGAGGCCCGGAGGUCCCUGGGAAGGGAGUUUCUUGGAGUGGGCUGGAACGGCUCACCCUCACCUGCCCCCAGAGAAACGGCCCUUGUCCAGGGAGGAAGGCCAGCCUUUUUC